GACAGAGGGUGCUAGCGUUAAUCGGAAUUACUGGGCGUAAAGGGCGUGUAGGCGGAUUGAUAAGUCGGAUGUGAAAGCCCUGGGCUUAACCUGGGAACGGCAUUUGAUACUAUGAGUCUAGAGUGAAGCAGAGGGUAGCGGAAUUUCCGGUGUAGCGGUGAAAUGCGUAGAUAUCGGAAGGAACACCAGUGGCGAAGGCGGCUACCUGGGCUUUAACUGACGCUGAGGCGCGAAAGCGUGGGGAGCGAACAGGAUUAGAUACCCUGGUAGUCCACGCUGUAAACGAUGAAGACUAGCUGUUGGUGGAUGUGAUGUCUAUCGGUAGCGAAGCUAACGCGAUAAGUCUUCCGCCUGGGGAGUACGGCCGCAAGGUUGAA
rnacentral:rRNA from 1 species